rnacentral:rRNA from 1 species
GAUGAACGCUGGCGGCGUGCCUAAUACAUGCAAGUCGAGCGAACAGACGAGGAGCUUGCUCCUCUGACGUUAGCGGCGGACGGGUGAGUAACACGUGGAUAACCUACCUAUAAGACUGGGAUAACUUCGGGAAACCGGAGCUAAUACCGGAUAAUAUAUUGAACCGCAUGGUUCAAUAGUGAAAGACGGUUUUGCUGUCACUUAUAGAUGGAUCCGCGCCGCAUUAGCUAGUUGGUAAGGUAACGGCUUACCAAGGCAACGAUGCGUAGCCGACCUGAGAGGGUGAUCGGCCACAUUGGAACUGAGACACGGUCCAGACUCCUACGGGAGGCAGCAGUAGGGAAUCUUACGCAAUGGGCGAAAGCCUGACGGAGCAACGCCGCGUGAGUGAUGAAGGUCUUCGGAUCGUAAAACUCUGUUAUUAGGGAAGAACAAAUGUGUAAGUAACUAUGCACGUAUUGACGGUACCUAAUCAGAAAGCCACGGCUAACUACGUG